rnacentral:sRNA from 1 species
CUAAUGGCAUUCCUUGUAACUUGUAAGUGAGUUCCAACUCUAGGAUUUAUUUCACAAAAUGGCUGCAAAAAUGUAUAUGUAGAUUGUUCAUAAAAGUAUACAAGUCAUUUUCAUGAAAUCAAAACUUAUAAAAAUCCACUUCAUGUUUUUUUUUGUUUUUUUGAAAUGUUGGGUUAAUUUUGGAAACAAAAAUCUUUUAGUACUAUUUUUGUCAAUCUUCCUACAUUUUAUCCCAAUUUCUAUCUAAUGAAUUU